GCUGGGAUGCCCGAGUGGUCUAAGGGGCCAGACUCAAGUUCUGGUAGACAACGUCUGCGUGGGUUCGAACCCCACUUUCAGCA